rnacentral:lncRNA from 1 species
GCCGCAAAUGGCAGCAAGGACGCUGAGCUCCGCAAUUCUUCUAUUGUUUUUGUUUGUUUGUUCUGUGUUUUGUCAUUCUUCUUCUAUAAGUUUUACCAGAGACGAACUGCUUAACAUUAAGCAGCACAUCCCGGACAACAUUUUUCCGGUUUUUGAUUAUUCGGACGUUUUGUUGGACAUUCUAGUCGGAGGUACAGCGGUGUUGUUCAAACGCGCGUGCAGACGCAGAAGAGGGAAACUGUGUGAAGUGUGAAGUUCCCUGCUGCUUUAAACGUUCCACCAUCAUUCCGGUCCCCAAAAAGCCCAAAAUCACUGGACUUAACGACUACAGACCUGUCGCUCUCACAUCUGUGGUCAUGAAGUCACUUGAGAGACUGGUCCUGGCCUACCUGAAGGACAUCACUAGACCCUUGCUGGAUCCUCUUCAGUUUGCCUACAGAGCAAACAGGUCUGUGGAUGAUGCAGUCAACAUGGGACUGCAUUACAUCCUGCAACACCUCGACAGACCUGGGAAUUACGCAAGGAUCCUAUUUGUGGACUUCAGUUCGGCCUUCAAUACCAUCAUGCCUGACCUUCUCUCAGACAAACUCACCCAGCUCUCCGUGCCCACCUCCAUCUGUCAGUGGAUCACCAGCUUCCUGACAGACAGGCAGCAGCUAGUGAGGCUGGGCAAACUCACAUCCAGGACUAUCACCAUCAGCACUGGCGCCCCCCAGGGAUGUGUACUCUCCCCACUGCUCUUCUCUCUCUACACGAAUGACUGCACCUCUAAAGACCCCUCUGUCAAGCUCCUGAAGUUCGCAGACGACACUACAGUCAUCGGCCUCAUCAAGGAUGGAGACGAGUCUGCUUACAGACAGGAGGUUAAAGAGCUGGCUGUCUGGUGCAGUCUUAACAACCUGGAGCUUAACACGCUCAAAACUGUGGAGAUGAUCGUGGACUUCAGGAGAAAACCCCCUGCACUCCCCCCACUCACCAUCAUGGACAGCACUGUGACUGCAGUGGAGUCAUUCAGGUUCCUGGGCACCACAAUCUCUCAGGACCUGAAGUGGGACACUCACAUAGACUCCAUUGCAAAAAAGGCCCAGCAGAGGUUGUACUUCCUUCGCCAGCUGAGGAAAUUCAACCUGCCACAGGAGCUGCUUAAACAGUUCUACUCUGCUAUCAUUGAGUCUGUCCUGUGUUCAUCCAUAACUGUCUGGUUUGGUUCAGCAACCAAAUCAGACAUCAAGAGACUACAACGGACAGUCAGGACUGCUGAAAGGAUUAUUGGUGCCCCUCUGCCCAGCCUCCAAGAUCUUUACAUCUCCAGAGUGAGGAAAAGGGCUAAAAAAAAUCACCUUGGACCCCUCACACCCACCC